AUAUACAUGUAGCCAGUAAAAAUUUGAUUUCUAUCUCUGUGCUGGCAUAGGAUAAUUAUAAUUUUUAUUUCAAUAAAGAUAUGUAUUCUAUUUAUUUUGAAAAUAAACUUGUUGCACAUGCUUUCUUGAUUGACAGUCUUUACCAUGGGCAUAUGGAUGCAAGUAUAAACAUUAACGAGCAAAUAGUGAAUACUAUAGGGUUUAAA
rnacentral:lncRNA from 1 species